AGCGAUUGGUCAGACCAUAGAUACAUAGAGAAGACAGCGCGCUAGCAUGUCUAGUCUUCUAUGUAUGGUAGCAUCUCUGGCUGCUGUUGACCUUGUUUGUGGAGUAAAGCAUGGUGGAAGCUGAAUUAGUGAGGAUGACUCCUGCUCCUGUCAUCUCUAAGCUCCUCCCACAUCUUUACCUGCACAUGAGGAAAAUCACUCCUGUAGAAUGCAGUGGUUCAUCAGAACCUCUGGGGAUGUCCUGUGGAUUCUGUGGAUCCUGUGGGUUGCAGGGUGGGUCCUACCUAGACCAGGCUGAUCCUGGACCAUCCCACAGAUGCUCAAUCAGAUGUGGAUGUGGGGAGUGUGGAACCCAGAUGUUCAGAGGGAGAUGAUGCCACAUCUGGUCCAGCUGAUGGAAGGUCUUGAAGUUCUCUGACUGGCCUGGACUGAAGAUGGUCGUCUCACUGGAUUUAAGGUUCAGAUGCUCAGUAACAAACUCCACCAAUGUGCCAACAGGGAAGCUUUAGGUUUAUUAAAUGUUGCUAUGAAGGUAUCACUGUUUUUCUUUGUGAAUGCAAUGUGCUCCAACUGAAACUUGAAUUAGAACUUAGAAGUAAAUCAUUUCAUCUGAAAGGAUUUAGUUGCAUUAAUAACCUCAUAACAUUCUAAUUUUUAUUCCAGUCUUGGUUGGAAAUAGAAUCUCUGUAUUGAUUCAGGUAAAAACUGAACUUAACAGCAUGUUGGAGCAAAACAACCAGAUGAAAACUGUGAUGGUGUUGGAUUGUCAGACCGUAAUGUUGCAGCUCAAAGCAGCUUUUCUAGCUCAGUUCAUUCUGACAUUCAGCUAUGAAUCAACACAGCAGAUGGUGAUCCAUGCUGUGGAAGUCUCACAUCUCCUGAUUUAAUGGAGCUGCUUUGCACUUUUUACACUGUUUAUUCACCAACACUUUAUUUAAUAAAAGUCCCAUCUAGUUUUUAUGAGGAAUGUGAUGUUUUAAUUUCUCUGUGAAUAACUGCAGUCUAAUGCAACAGCUGGAAUUGUAACAUCUGUCCUGAUAUUGAUCAUGAAGUAUUGAUCAGAAUACUUAUGGUUAGCAGUCAUCCCUGAAGUUUUACAUUGAAAUCUUUACUUGUGUUGUGAACUUUGGUAAGAAGCAGAAACGUUAGCGUUGCCAUGGAUACAGGAGUGUUAAAUUCUGUCCAUGUUUCCAUUUUGGGAAAUUCAGUCCAGUUCCAGAAUGUGGAGGAAUUUAGUCUCAUAAUCACAGACAACAAAUAUUAUCUGAAAGUCGAGUUAUUGUUGUUUAUCAGCACAAUACAAAAAGAUUAAUGUUAGAAAUAUUCCAGUUAAGACUCUAGAAUAUCAUGAUUUAUGUAAAAUUUACCUCAAUAAUAUGAAUGUUCAGGUUAAGAUUGUACAGUGAUAUUUAUUAUGUAAGUUUAGCUGAUUAAAGUUUGACUCUGCACUAAAAUAUCAUUUAAAUUUACAUCAUUAUUAUAAUAUUUAGGGUCAGACCCUACAGUAUUGAGAUUAAGAAAUUAAAUAUUCUACAAAAUGUAAAUACACUGAACUCAUUUGGAUAUAUUUAAGUGAGACUUUACAAUAUUAUUUGACACAAAUCUAUCUAAAUCAAAAUUUUAAUAAUUUUUACUCCAACCUUUUACUGGACUGAUUUAAAUAUUAAAAUCACGCCUUUCUAAUCCUCUGCUGUACGUUCAAACCUGAGGCCUUAAAUAGAAACACACAAGUAUCUGUUUGAAGGAACUUCUGCAGAGUCCUGGUUCCAGAACAUGAUGAUAGAAUUAUAGACAAACUUUAACAAAAGCUGCCUGAGAGUUUACAGGUUUUUAUGUUAAAUUUCUUCAGUAAUUUAAUGAGCGUUAUCAGCAAUAAUCAAGGGUUCAUUUGAUGAACUUCAUUUCCUAAAACAUCCGGAAUUGGAGCUCAUAUCUUUGUCAGCUGUAAAGUUUCUGCUCCUUCAAAGUUCACAACACAAUGAAUGAAUUCCUAAAACACUCUCAAUGCUGGAGAACGUUUGUGAUGCUGAAGCAGUGAUCAGUUUUUCUGUUUCUUCUCUGGAGAUGCACAAUGAGGGACGUCUGCAGAGACUGAGAAAGAGUCUCACCACAUCCUGACAUGAGGAAAAAGACUUUAUUGAAGACUACAAUGAGAAAAACUAUCAGACAGCAGACGGCUGCAUUCAAGGUGAGCUCUGAACAUUUGAUCUGGAACAGGAAUUCAAUCACGGCAGCAUGAGCUUCAUUUCAGUCUGUAGCUGCUGAAUUCAUGGAUGAAUCAUCUGGCACUAGAGAAGAAGACCAUCAAACAUCCACGUCAGCUGAUGGAGGUCCAAGAGUCUCACCAAACAAACAACCUACAGAGUGAAGACCUCAAAUCUGAUUGGAUGGCCUCCUAUUCAGCCACAUGUGUGAACAAAUGCCUCUAAGCUGAUUUAUUUUCUAAAAUAAAUCUAGUUUGAGUCCUAA